UGGUGUUCCGUUGGAGAAGGUCGUCAUAAUUGUUUCAUGGUUGAGAGCCUACGAAACCCAUUUGUGCAUAGAAUUUACAUCCAAAUUGCUGCUCCAAUUCCUUAGUGAUCCGAGGAUUGAUGUGAAAAAACUCCUGAUGCCUACUACAUCCUGCAUGGUGGUCCACUGCAAUGGUUUGACUUCCUUCCUCGUGUUAUUAGAGAUGGUUACAACUCAGAAGGUCUCCUGGAAGAUAGUACGACUCAGUUGAACAUAGCAGAAACCUAAUAACCAAUGAUUCGAUUUUGACUGCCACAAUCUGCACAAAGAUGAGGAGAUUGUUGCUCGACUGAAAUAACCAUGUGCUCAAUUGGGUUCCAGUUCGCCAAAUGAGAUCUACAAUCUUCGCUGAGUAUCGUUGAUUUUUCAUAUGCUUGUUUGGGAAAAUGCUGUUCUCCUAGCUGUAGCUAGAGUGCUUGGUAAUUUUAGUCACAUUCUGUCUUCGUAAAGUGUUCGUAAACUGUGCAUAU